GACGAACGCUGGCGGCGUGCUUAACACAUGCAAGUCGAGCGGCGGCGAACGGGUGAGUAACGCGUGGGUAACCUGCCCUUAAGUCUGGGAUACCAUUUGGAAACAGAUGCUAAUACCGGAUACUACAGGCUGGACUUGCGAUGCAUUAGCUAGUUGGUAAGGUAACGGCUUACCAAGGCGAUGAUGCAUAGCCGACUUGAGAGAGUGAUCGGCCACAUUGGGACUGAGACACGGCCCAGACUCCUACGGGAGGCAGCAGUAGGGAAUCUUCCACAAUGGACGAAAGUCUGAUGGAGCAACGCCGCGUGAGUGAAGAAGGUUUUCGGAUCGUAAAGCUCUGUUGUUGGAGAAGCGGUAAUCAACAAGAAAGUCACGGCUAACUACGUGCCAGCCGCCGCGGUAAUAC
rnacentral:rRNA from 1 species